rnacentral:lncRNA from 1 species
UUGAAUUCUCAAGAAAACAAUAAUGGAGGUGGUGUUUCUCGAAUUCAGAAAUUAAUAGAAAAUAUAAAUAAGAUGAAGAGAAUUAAAGUGCAUAACCUCACAGCUUGAACAAAUCUCAAUUUAAUUUAACUUUCAACUGAAAAUAAAUUGUUUAGCCACUCAUGACCAUAAUAAAAUUAUUAAAAUUUAGUAAAAGAAUAAGAAAAAGAAAAGAAGAUGGAGAACAUAGUGGGGGGCAACAAGAGAGGAAAUGAGAGCGAGAGGUAAAAUGUGAUUCUCCAGGUUAAAUGCUAGAAGCCUUUUUAUAGGCACAAAAAGAUAAAAUUUUAAAAUAAAAACUAUUAUCCCUAUCUUAUCUCUAUCCUCAUCUUAUCUCUAUCUUCAUAUGAUCUUUAUCCUCAUCUGAUUCAAUUUGACUCCACUUGAAACUGAUAUUAUCCUUGUUUAGGUGGCAAAAUCUAUCUUAUCUCCCCGUCGCCUCCCAGUAUAAAAAAUCCUUUAAUUCAGCAUUUUUUUCUUCCUUUUAUCAACUUCUGCUCACAAACCUGCACAAGAUUAAAUUCUAAUUAAAAUUAAAUAUUUACAUAAAAAUUAUAGUAAAAUCAAUGAAUUAAAUGAGGAAAAAAAUUGUGAGUUUUGCAACUCAUCAGAUUCCCCCACACUUGCACCUUUGCUUGUCCUCAAGCACAAAAAUUGAAAUGAAACAAAGGAAUACAACCCUGUCCUCAACCAAUCUGAAAUUUAAUUUAUCCAAAACAAAGAACCAAAUUGUCAUGCACUAGGAUGAUAGCAGAAAUAGCUUAAUUUCACCAAAGUUCACUUCAACAAGUUUCAUAUUUAAAACAUGUUUCUCAAGUCAUAAAGUUGGUCCUCAAUUUAAUUUCAAGCACAUAAAAUAUUAGAAUGCCAUAUAAUAUUAAAUUGCCAUUUUUUAAAGAAUGGAAUCUUAGGAACUCUUAACUAGACCAAUUAAAUUUAAAGAUUUGGGGUUCAUUAUUUAUUAUUUACACUUCCUACUAUAUCUUGCCUGAAACCGAUAAAGUGAACGUGAAACAAAUGGUUACUGAGCCACUUGCCCCAGGUUAUUUAGCUCAGGUGGCUACUAGCUCCACUCAUAAUUACCCAAUAAAAAGGUAUGGGCAAGUUUUUAAACGACCCAAAAAGGGUGAUACUCUCCCAAACACUGAUUUCUCCAUACAGAAUUACCUUAAGAGGUCACCAGGUACCGCACUACUUGGGCCAUCGGGUUGGUAACCAAUUGAUCAAGCAACUAGAGGAAUGGGUCAUAGGAGUGCAUUUAUUUCUGAUUUUUAUUUUUAUUUUUUUCUUUUUUUUUCAUUUUUUUUAAUACUCCUUGAUUUCCACAUAAAUAUAUAGUCUAGAAAAUAUCCUUUAAUUCAUUCUCAAUAAAGGGCAGCAACUCAUUUAAAAGAACAUGCAUUUUUUACCCACUAUUUAAAUAAGGACCAUAUUUCAUGAGAUUUCAAAACAAGGCUUAAAAAUAAAACUAAUAAAAUAAACAAUGAUAAAUUUAUUCUAUUUAAGCUAGCAUAUAAAUGGCAUAAUAACUUGUAUUCUAUGAUAAAGGAUAUAUCAAUUUCUUAUGGCAAGUAAGGAGCUGUAAAAUUUUUAUUUUAUUUUAUUUUUAUUUUAUUUUAUUUUAUUUUAUUUUUUUUACUUUUUUCCUUUUUUAAAAAAAAUGAUGCAAAUACUAGAAAUCAUAAAAAUUAAAUAUGAGAAAUAAUUUAAAGUGCAAGUGCUGAGAAACUGCUGAGAAUCAUAAAAACAGAAGUGUCCCAAAAAUUCCAAAAUUCCAAAAUUCCUCUAACUCAAACACCAAAAACUCAAAGAAAAAUGGCAGAAAAAGAAUAAAAAUUCUCAAAAAUUUCAAAAUGUUCAUCAAUUUAUCAAUCAAUCUCAUCAACCACAAAAAAAAAAACUUCUAUUUUCAUACCACAUCUCCCCCCACACUUACUCCUCACAUUGUCCUCAAUGUGGAAAAAAAUUCAAUUAAAUGGGAAAGUGCACAAAAUAAAAUAAAGUAAGUCAAAGAGAACUUCCCUUAAGAGUAAGUCGCAUAGAGCUCAGGCUGUUGGUGGUUGGGGUAUGGGCAACCCCAAGUGAGAGAGAAUGAUAUUCAAUUUGGCAUCCAUAUGGUGCAUUUUUGCCUCAAUUCUGGCUAGACGGGCUUGAUCACUAGGUUCUAGAGAUGCUGCUGAGGAGGUUGAGGCUGAAGCUGAUUGGUCCUCUGUCCGAAAUAAACGCGAUCGUGGUGGAAUGAUAGGACCUGGAGGACAAAACACAAAUUCUUUCCUCUCGUUGACGCAAAGUAAGCCCAUAGAAUUAAGUGCAGAUAUGUCAAGUGGAAGAAUAGGCUCAGCUAUGUGUAAAUUAGUAUUUUUAAUAUCAAGUACACCCAACCCUACCGCUAGCAUUGAAAUUACAGAACCCAAGUAUAUACCACGCCCAGCAUUAGAUAUACUUUUAAACUGCGAGGCUAACCAAAAACCAAAAAUAACUUUUCUUUUUUUUAACAUGCACCAUAAGAAGAAGAGUUCAUAUUUUGUGAGUUUAGUUGGAUCUUUAUUUUUUCCAGAAAAUGUGUAGGUAUCUAAGGGCAGGGCUCUGAAUAUCAUUGGCUUUAGAUUUCGCACCCCUAAAUUUAAACUCAGGUUUCCUGUUAACUCCUUGUAUGCUAAAAUUGGAUCCCAAUCCGCUGGGUAGUCACAUAAUGAAUCUAAAUAUUCAACAGUUUUGACAUAUUCAUUACCAUAAAUACCCAAGUACAAAUUAAAUGUUGUGAUUGAACAUUGGACCAUUUUAUUUUGCAACCUAAAAUGAAUUGUAGGAAUAUUCAUAUUAAAAUUCUGUGCAUCAAAAGAAAACUCAUAGGUUGCAUAAAAUUCACGGCAAAGCUCAACAUAGGAAGGACAAUCUAUAACAAAAAAUUUUCUCCAUCCAAUUGUAUCAAUUAAAGCAUAAACUUCAUCAUACAAUCGCAAUUGGAUCAAGGUAUCAUCAUUUAUUUUCUUACAAGCAUAAAUAUCAGAAUGGAGAAAAAUUUUAUAUCUCACCUCAUCAUCGCCGACAAAGCUAAAAUUGCCAUGAAGGUCUUGCUCUGUAGGUAGAUAUCUGGCCUUUCCACCAGCUAAUCUGGGCAUCCGUUUUUUCUGCUUUUUCUUUGGAGGAGAAUCAGCCUGGAUUUCUUCACUGGCACUUGAGGUUGUGUCCUCGCUGCUGUCCUCCGAAGCUUCCACGAUCAAUUUUAUGGUUUUGGAUUGCAUUUUUCGUUCUUGGAGUUGCCUCAGGAUUUCAGGUUUCACCUCCUAUUCUUCCUCAUCAUCACUCAUUAAAUCAUAAAUAGGAACCUUACCUUUCAUCUGUGAAUGCUAGCGCGUGGUUGCAUCUGGCGAGGAAGUAGACGGCGACGGUGUCGGUGUUGGAGAGGCUGCGAUCGGCGAGGAGGAAUGCGUGGAAGGGGCUGUGACCGGCGAGGAGGAACGCGCGGAAGGGGCUGUGACCGGCGAGGAGGAACGCGCGGAAGGGGCUGCAAUCGGCGAGUCCGCUGGUAUGGUCUGCGUGUGAGGCCUAGUCGCCGCGUCCGAGGGAAUCUUCGUCGUGGUCUGGUGGCGGCACGAUGAGCGGCGGCUCCCGAUCGAAGCGCCGGCAGCGUGGUUCUUGGCGGAACGGGAAGAGGCGGCGCGGGCCAUCUGCAGGAAAGAGAAGAAAAAGAAAAGAAAAAGAUAGAAAAUGAAGAUGACAGUAGAUAGGAAGAAUUAGGUUUUUUUUUUUUAAAAAAAUUAAUUUUUUUUUAAUUAUUAUUUUUAUUAUUUUUAUUUUUUUAUUUUUUAUUAUUAUAUAUAUUUUUUUAAGUAGAAAAUAAGAUGAAGUAGAAUAGAACAUACCUUCUUUUGGGAGCAAUUUUAAAAAUAAUAACUUACCUCCAAAAAGAUUUUCUAAAGUCCCGAAUUGCCUAGAAAAUCUAAUCUGCUUCAAAAAUAACAAAUAAAUUAAUUUAAAAUUAAAAAUUAAAAGAAAACUUACUUGUGACUCUAUAGGCUUGGGCAAGCCUGUAAUCUUGGGUUGCCUCCCAAGCAACGCCUUUGUUUAUUGUCCUAGGCUGGACUUUCCUUUCUUCAAAUUCCGAUCUGUGGUACUCCCAGAACCAUAAUUUCUUCAUCUUUGGGCUUGAAUCCCUCAUAAAAGGGUUUGAGUCUAUGGCCAUUCACUUUAAAAAUUUUACUAGUUUCAAGACUUUGAAUUUUCACGGCUCCAUGGUUAAAAGUCUUAAUUACAACAAACGGACCAAUCCAUCGUGUCUUCAAUUUUCCUGGAAAAAGUUUUAACCGAGAAUGAAAAAGCAAAACUUUUUGGCCCACCUGAAAAUUUUUCCGAGAAAUUGAUUCAUCAUGAAUAGCUUUGGUUUUCUCCUUGUAAAUUCUGGCACUCUCGUAGGCUUCAUUCCUUAUUUCCUCCAGUUCCUGCAACUGUAACUUUCAGUUAGAACUUGCCUCUAUUAAGCUGUUGUUCCAUUGCUUUAUUGCCCAAAAGGCUUUAUGCUCUAACUCAACUGGCAAAUGGCAAGGCUUGCCAUAAACUAGCCGGAAUGGUGACAUGCCUAUUGGAGUUUUAUAGGCUGUCCUAUAAGCCCAUAGCGUAUCAUCAAGAUGGUUGCUCCAGUCUUUCCUAUUAAUAUUGACAAUUUUCUCUAGGAUCGAUUUAAUUUCCUUGUUAGAAAUCUCUGCUUGACCAUUCGUCUAUGGAUAGUAUGCUGUGGAGGUACGAUGAGUUACUCCAUAUUUUCUCAACAAUGAUUCGAUCACCUUAUUGCAAAAGUGAGUUCCUCGAUCACUUACUAGUAGUCGUGGAACUCCAAACCUGACAAAUAUAUGAGUUUUCAAAAAAACAAAAACAACUUUUGAAUCAUUAGUCUUAGUGGCCUUAGCCUCCACCCACUUUGAGACAUACUCAACAGCAAGCAAAAUGUAUUGAUUACCAAAUGAAGAGGGAAAUGGACCCAUGAAAUCUAUGCCCCAUACAUCAAAAAUUUCAAUUACCAGUAUAGGUGCAAGGAUCAUCUAGUCUCGAUAUCCUAGGUUACUUGUCCUUUGACAAUUGGAGCAUGCCUUACAAAACAUAUAAGAGUCUUUGAAUAUAUUGGGCCAAUAGAGUCCACAUUCUAACACUUUCCUUACUGUCCUCUUUGGUCCAAAGUGCCCUCCACAGGCUUCUGAGUGGCAGAAACGAAGAAUAGACUCUAUUUCACUUUCUGGGACACAUCUCCUUACUAUUUGGUCAGCACAAAAUUUUCAUAAGUACGGCUCAUCCCAAACGUACUGUCGCGCAUCAUGCUUCAUUUUCUCUUUCUGGCUUCUUGAAAUUCCUACUGGAAAAUUUUUGGUCACCAUAUAGUUUACCAAAUCAGCGUACCAAGGGCUUGUCACCUGCGCAAAAAAUAAUUGUUCGUCAGAAAAUUCAUCUUUUAAGGGGAAUUCAUCUUGGGAUUGAAAUAAACGAUUGAGGUGAUCGGCAACCAAGUUUUCUAAUCCCUUUUUAUCCUUAAUUUCAAGGUCAAAUUCCUGCAACAAUAAAAUCCAACGAAUUAGUCAUGGUUUUGCUUCUUUCUUCUUUAAAAGGUAUCUCAAAGCUGCAUGGUCAGAAAACAUAAUUACUUUAGUACCCAACAAAUAUGAUCUAAAUCUUUCUAAGGCAAAGACAAUUGCUAAAAGUUCUUUUUCAGUGGUGGUAUAAUUGCUUUGGGCCUUAUCUAAAGUUCUGGAUGCAUAACAUAUUACAUGAGGUUUUUUAUCAAUUCGUUGACCAAGAACAGCUCCUAAAGCAUAAUUACUUGCGUCACACAUUAUUUCAAAUGGAUAAUGCCAAUUUGGUGCUUGCAUAAUGGGGGCAGCAACUAGCUUUUCUUUUAGAGUAUCGAAAGCUUCUCUACACUCAUUAUCAAAAUUAAAUGGUACAUCAUUUUGCAAAAGUUUACACAAUGGUUGAGCAAUCCUUGAGAAGUCUUUGAUAAAUCUCCUGUAAAAUCCUACAUGACCAAGAAAAGAUCUAAUAUCUCGUAUACACGUAGGAUAUGGUAAAUUCUUAAUUACAUCAACAUUGGCCUUAUCAACCUCAAUUCCUCGUUUAGAGACUAUAUGUCCUAAAAUUAAGCCUUGAUCCACCAUGAAGUGACAUUUUUCAUAAUUUAAGACUAAAUUAGACUCUAAACAUCGUUUUAAGAUAUGUGUGAGGUUAAUUAGACAUUCAUCAAAUGAAUUACCAUAAACUGUAAAGUCAUCCAUGAAUACCUCGAUUAUCUUCUCAACAAAUUCCGAAAAUAUAUUGACCAUACAUCUUUGAAAAGUUGUUGGUGCGUUGCAAAGCCCAAAAGGCAUCCUUCUGUAGGCAAAAGUGCCAAACGGACAUGUGAAAGUCGUCUUCUCUUGGUCUUCUGGGGCCAUUGGCAUCUGGUAAAAACCUGAAAAGCCAUCCAAACAACAAAAAUGAGACUUUCCUGCCAAUCUUUCUAACAUUUGAUUGAUAAAAGGUAAAGGAAAAUGAUCCUUCCUAGUUUCUGAAUUUAACUUGCGAUAGUCUAUACAAACCCUCCACCCGUUUUGAACAUGAGUGGGAACUGAUUCUCCUUCUGAGUUGGUUCUUACUAUUAUUCCUGUCUUCUUUGGCACGACUUGGACUGGACUUACCCAUUUACUGUCUGAAAUUGGAUAUAUUAUUCCGGCAUCGAGCAAUUUUAGUAUAUCCUUUUUUACAACUUCCAUCAUAGGUGGGUUCAAUCUUCUUUGUGCUUCCCUUUUUGGCUUACUAUUUUCUUCAAGGAGGAUCUUGUGCAUGCACGUAGAGGGGCUUAACCCCUUAAGAUCUGCGAUUGUCCACCCAACUGCUUCCUUAUAUUCCUUCAGUACCUGAACAAGCUUAUCUUCCUCACCUUUACUUAGUUUAUUAGAGACUAUGACCGGAAGGGUGUUUUCUUUCCCCAGGAAGACAUACUUCAAGUGCAUGGGAAGAGCCUUUAGCUCAAUCUCCGGUGCCUGAAGAAUUGAAAGGAGAAGUUUGUGGUGAGACUUGGGUAUUGAAAGUAAAUUAGAGAUACUUACCUUCUGGUCUGGUGUAUCCAAUGAGUGGAUGGUCUCUAUGAUCUCUUCAUCGAAUUGGGUUGUGCACUCAUCAAGGUAAUCUAAUGUCAAGUUUUCGGUUAGAACUACCUCCAACUUGUCUUCCUUGCUUAGUUCAAAUGCUUCUUGAGCAAGAGGUUCGAUUACAUCUAUGCUACAAGCAGAAAAGUUUUCAUCAGGAUACUUCAUUGCAUCAUAGACAUUAAAUUUUACCUCUUCUCCAUCAAACUCCAUUGUGAGCGUGCCUUCAUGCACAUCAAUCUUCGUUCUAGCUGUGCUAAGGAAUGGUCUUCCUAGUAACAAAUCUGUAGAGUUGGAUGAAUUAUCGUCCUCCAUGUCUAAGAUGAAGAAGUCGGCUGGGAAGAUUAAUUUUCCCACUUGGACCAAAACAUCUUCCAAUACGCCCUUAGGAUAGACUAUUGAUCUAUUGACGAGUUGGAGUGUGAUUCCUGUUUGUUUCAACGGGCCUGCAUCCAAAGACAAAUAAACUGAUAGAGGCAUAACAUUUAUGGAAGCUCCUAAGUCACACAUUGCCUUUUUUACUUCAAAGUUUCCUACUUUACAUGAUAUAGCAAACAUGCCUUUGUCUUUACAUUUUUGUGCAAUUUUUCUUUGGAGUACAGCUGACACAUUCUCCCCUACUUUAAUUUUUUCGUGACCAUACAAUUUUGUUUUAUUAGUGCAAAGGUCUUUUAGAAAUUUCGCGUACCUGGGUAUUUGCUUUAUGGUCUCAAUAAGGGGUAUGUUUAUCUGGACUUUGCGAAAAAUCUCCAAGAUCUCUUUCUCUUCCUUUUCUCUUUUUGAUUGAGCAAAUCUUUCGGGAAAAGGAGGACGUAUUACCUGCAUUGGGGAUUGUUCUUCCUCAUAUUUCUGGGGUUGUUUCUCUUCUAGAAUCUCUAUUUCUGCUUCUGUCUUCUGGUCUGCCUUACUGCCUUGGGCAAGCUUCUUCGGGCUGGCAGACUCCAACUCCUUCCCACUUCAAAACGUAAUUGCGCUUGCGUUCUGGUUUGGAUUUGGCACGGUUUGGGAGGGCAGUUUCCCUUGCGAUUCUAGCUUGCUAACUGAUGUAGCAAGUUGGCUCAUUUGAUUCUCCAAAUUCUGAAUGCUUGACUUUGUUUCCUGUUGAAAAGCAAGAGUGCUAUUAGCAAGGGAUUGAAUAAUGUCUUCUAGAGACAUACCUGAUUUUGCAGCUUGAUAGUUGGUUCUUGGUUGGUAGUUCUGCUGUCUAUUCCCAUAGCUAAGGUUUGGAUGAUCUCUCCACCUUAGAUUGUAAGUGCUUGAAAAUGGGUCAUACUUCCUUUGUUGUCCAUUGAAUUGUUGUCCAUUGAACCCUCCAAUGGCUUUUACCUGUUGCCCUCCUUCUUGAAGGACAUGACAUAAAUAUAUAGGAUGGUCAGAUUGUUUGCAAAUACCACAAGUUCGUGCAUUAUUCCCUGCAACCAAUUGUUGAAUUGCAACUGUUAGUUGUGAGAUUUUAGAAUCUAAAGAUGCAAUACUUACUUCAUUGGCAUUUCUUGAAAUGUCCUCUUCUUGGCCAUACUGUCUAGAGUUGGCAGCUAAUUUGGAGAUUAAAGUUUUACCUUCUUCAAGUUCCAUUUCUGCAAUGGCCCUGCACUAGCAGCAUCUAUUAUUCUUCAUUCUAAUGGCAAAAGUCCUUCGUAAAAGUGAAGAUUAAGUUGUUUUGGAGUGAUUCCAUGUUUUGGACAACUUGCAAUUAAUUUCUUAUACCUUUCCCAAUAUUCAUGUAAAGUUUCAUUUUUUCUUUGUUUAAUUCCACUUAUUUCUUUUCUUAUUGAUGAUGCUUUGGUCGCUGGAAAAAAUCUUUCUAAGAGUAAGUCUCUAAUUUGCGCCCAAGUGGUGAUUGAACCUGGGGGCAAAUAGUAGAGCCAAUCCUUAGCCGAUUCAAUCAAAGUGAAAGGAAAAGCUACCAACCUUAUUUGUUCGUCAGUUAUACAUUGUGGUCUCAUACUUGAACAAACCAUAUAAAACUCUUUCAAAUGACGAUGGGGGUCUUCAUUCUCCAAACCUUGGAAUUUUGGUAACAUAUGAAUCAUACCUGUUCGUAAUUCCAAUGGUGCAUUCAGUAUUGGGUAUGUGAUGCAAAGGGGUUGCUCUUCAGCGGCAGCUGCUGCAGCCAUAUUGUCUCUUUGGUUUGUUUCAAUUGGAGGCUCGGUUGGUGUUGAAGAUGAAGUCUCUUCGGUGCGCAAAGGGAAUCGGGCAGAUGGUUGAGAGGCUCCCGAAUUGGCCUGUUUUUGCAACUUGGUUGCUUUUCUCAACCUUUUUGCAGUCUUCUCGAUUUCUGGAUCAAACUGAAUUCUGCUAUUCUCAGAUCUGGUCAUAAAAAUAAAAAUAAAUUGUUAGAGGUCCCCGGCAACGGCGCCAAAAUUUGACAGGUGUCGAAUCCGUCAAUUUAAAAUUUACUUCCCUUUUUCUCAAUUGACAAAAACUUGUAGAUAGGGUAAGUGAGUAUCAAUCCCACAGAGACCUCAAAUCUGCUUAAUUUAAAUGACCAAAUUGAAAUAGAGAAAUAGUUUAAUGAAAAAGUGAGAAGAAGAGAUUUUUCUUCUUUAUGAAAAUGGUUGUGCCUUGGGCAAGCCAAUAAAAAUAAACUUAAGAGAAAAUAAAUAAAUAAAUAAUGUAAUUAAAAAUUUAGAAACAACUAAUUAAUUAAAAUUUUCAGCUGAAGGUAAUCAAAUUGAGGUAUUUUGCAGUUGAUCAUUGAAUAAAAAAAAAUAAUUCAUUUUAUUAUCUAUUGUUUGGUUAUAGUGAUCAAACACGCGAAUCCCACCAAUUCUUCCUUAUGAAUAAAUUAAUUUGCUUCGAGCUUAAAUUAAUUCCUAGUCAACUAAUAACCCCAACAAGCGUAUAGAUUUAAUUAGUUAACUGCAUUAAGAGAGAAGAACCCAAACUGAUCAAUAAAAACACGCGUUUUAUUUAAAUCAAAUCCACUAAUUUCUUAAUAUAAACUAAUAUAUUAAUUGCCACUUGUUAUUAACCCAAUUAAACAAUUACGAAUUUAAUUAGAUUAAUUAACAAUAUAUUGUCUUCCCAAGAAAUUCAAUGGGCUCCUUGAAUUCUCAAGAAAACAACAAUGGAGGUGGUGUUCCUCGAAUUCAGAAAUUAAUAGAAAAUAAAAAUAAGAUGAAGAGAAUUAAAGUGCAUAACCUCACAGCUUGAACAAACCUCAAUUUAAUUUAGCCACUCAUGGCCAUAAUAAAAUUACAAAAAUUUAGUAAAAGAAGAAGAAAAAGAAAAGAAGAUGGAGAAUAGAGUGGAGGACAACAAGAGAGGAAAUGAGAGCGAGAGGUAAAAUGUGAUUCUCCAAGUUAAAUGCUAGGAACCUUUAUAUAGACACAAAAAGAUAAAAUUUUAAAAUAAAAACUAUUAUCCCUAUCUUAUCUAUAUCCUCAUCUUAUCUCUAUCUUCAUAUGAUCUUUAUCCUCAUCUGAUUCAAUUUGACUCCACUUGAAACUGAUAUUAUCCUUGUUUAGGUGGCAAAAUCUAUCUUAUCUCCCCAUCGCCUCCCAGUAUAAAAAAUCCUUUAAUUCAGCAUUUUUUUCUUCCUUUUAUCAACUUCUGCUCACAAACCUGUACAAAAUUAAAUUCUAAUGAAAA